UUUUACCUACGGGACGCAGCAGUCGGGAAUAUUGCGCAAUGGAGGAAACUCUGACGCAGUGACGCCGCGUAUAGGAAGAAGGUUUUCGGAUUGUAAACUCUUGUCGUUAGGGAAGAUAAAAGACUGUACCUAAGGAGGAAGCCCCGGCUAACUACGUGCCAGCAGCCGCGGUAAUACAUAGGGGGCAAGCGUUAUCCGGAAUUAUUGGGUGUAAAGGGUGCGUAGACGGAAG
rnacentral:rRNA from 1 species